CGUCUGUAGGUGGUUUAGUAAGUCUGCUGUUAAAGACUGGGGCUCAACCCCAGAAAAGCAGUGGAAACUGCUAGACUUGAGUAUGGUAGAGGUAGAGGGAAUUCAUAGUGUAGCGGUGGAAUGCGUAGAUAUUAUGAAGAAUACCAGUGGCGAAGGCGGCCUCCUGGAUCUGUACUGACACUGAGGUGCGAAAGCGUGGGUAGCGAACAGGAUUAGAUACCCUGGUAGUCCACGCCGUAAACGAUGACAACUAGCUGUUGGGAGACUAUGUCUUUCAGUGGCGCAGCUAACGCUUUAAGUUGUCCGCCUGGGGAGUACGGCCGCAAGGCUAAAACUCAAAUGAAUUGACGGGGACCCGCACAAGCGGUGGAGCAUGUGGUUUAAUUCGAUGAUACGCGAGGAACCUUACCAGGUCUUAAAUGCGUAACGAACGAUUGGGAAACCAAUCUUUCUUCGGACGGAAUGCAAGGUGCUGCAUGGUU
rnacentral:rRNA from 1 species